GCGGUGAAGUGUUUGAACUGAACUAAAAUGCCGAAGUGGUAGAGGUGUAGUGGGAAGUGUGGAGAAAAAAUUUAGGGAUUUGGAUAGUGGGAGUGGUUGGACAGUUUUAGGAGAAAUUUGAGGGAUUUGGGGAUAAUGGGGCUAAUUUUUUUAAUUUUAUUUUCUUUCUAUUUUUGUUAUUUUUCUAUUUUUAAAUUCCCAAAGUUCCUCCAUCAUUUUGCCGUUUCUUCUCCCUCAGCUCUGCUAAACCUCUGCCAAAGUUUCUUUUUCUGCUCCAUUCUUGUAGAUUUUGGC
rnacentral:lncRNA from 1 species